rnacentral:rRNA from 1 species
UUCUUUUUCCACCGGAGCUUGCUCCACCGGAAAAAGAGGAGUGGCGAACGGGUGAGUAACACGUGGGUAACCUGCCCAUCAGAAGGGGAUAACACUUGGAAACAGGUGCUAAUACCGUAUAACAAUCAAAACCGCAUGGUUUUGAUUUGAAAGGCGCUUUCGGGUGUCGCUGAUGGAUGGACCCGCGGUGCAUUAGCUAGUUGGUGAGGUAACGGCUCACCAAGGCCACGAUGCAUAGCCGACCUGAGAGGGUGAUCGGCCACAUUGGGACUGAGACACGGCCCAAACUCCUACGGGAGGCAGCAGUAGGGAAUCUUCGGCAAUGGACGAAAGUCUGACCGAGCAACGCCGCGUGAGUGAAGAAGGUUUUCGGAUCGUAAAACUCUGUUGUUAGAGAAGAACAAGGAUGAGAGUAACUGUUCAUCCCUUGACGGUAUCUAACCAGAAAGCCACGGCUAACUACGUGCCAGCAGCCGCGGUAAUACGUAGGUGGCAAGCGUUGUCCGGAUUUAUUGGGCGUAAAGCGAGCGCAGGCGGUUUCUUAAGUCUGAUGUGAAAGCCCCCGGCUCAACCGGGGAGGGUCAUUGGAAACUGGGAGACUUGAGUGCAGAAGAGGAGAGUGGAAUUCCAUGUGUAGCGGUGAAAUGCGUAGAUAUAUGGAGGAACACCAGUGGCGAAGGCGGCUCUCUGGUCUGUAACUGACGCUGAGGCUCGAAAGCGUGGGGAGCAAACAGGAUUAGAUACCCUGGUAGUCCACGCCGUAAACGAUGAGUGCUAAGUGUUGGAGGGUUUCCGCCCUUCAGUGCUGCAGCUAACGCAUUAAGCACUCCGCCUGGGGAGUACGACCGCAAGGUUGAAACUCAAGGAAUUGACGGGGGCCCGCACAAGCGG